GAUAUAGACUAGAAGGGAGAGCACAUUUUGUGUGGUUUAGAGAAUUAAACCUGAUAGGUCAGGAGCUGACCUGAGCUUGGUUUCACAGACCAGGACAGGGAAACAAGCAGUAAUUAGAAUAGGCAUCUUACUUUAUAUUAGUGCUGGGCACCCAGGGAUGCUCCCUGGGCUGUACAUCAGUGUAACACACUUUCCUUACCAAAAGUAGACCUCUCUGUUCUGCUGGUAGCUAAACCAGACCAGUCAUACGAGUGAAGUCCCAGAGAGCAAUGCUCAUUCCAGGACAGGAAUAGAGUUUUAUUUUAAACUCCUUCAAACUGAGAUUAUCUGCAUAUUAUCUGUAUACCAGGAUUAAAGUGUCCAUGUGGGAAGUUACACCAGUACAUCCAGAUGACCUGGAGCUUUCAUCCCAAGGAAACUGAGCUGAGAUUCAGUAUUACUUGGUUUGGGAUGGGAGUGGGGGUGAGCUGGGGAGUGGAUGUUGUUUAUUGCCAGGGGAAGAUGGAUUCUCCAAUAUGGUUUCCUGCAGAAAAGUCCAAGUUUGCAGAAGUUGCAUUUGCAUUUGCCUGCCUGAAAGACCCAUUGCAGUGGGGAACUCCUGGCGAGCUCUGAAGCUCAGUUAUUUCAGGGUGAGCCUAUGUAGAGAUCUCAGUAAUGCAGCCAACUAUUAGCUAAGUUACUGCAGAAUUUGAUCUCUGACAUAUUUCUCUUUAAUAGAAACAGAGGCAUCGGCAGGCUCAGUGGUUAUUUGUGUUCCAGAUAACUCCCUGCCCUUGGUUUGGAGAAACCUUCAUUGUUCCCUUCUGCUCAGGGAAUGAUUUCUUUAAUGCAACAGUCUCUCCUGGAAAGAACAUCUGUGACACCCGUAGGCAGUGCACCAGCAGGUAAAGGGUCCAUCAGUGCAGUCAAUGCAUCUGUGGGGUCCCAGCUGAGAGUCCCAGGGGAUGCUGCAGCUGGUGAAGGGGUUUCCCAGGGUGGAUCAUGCCCUGCUCAGCACCGCUG